rnacentral:rRNA from 1 species
GAACGCUGGCGGCGUGCCUAAUACAUGCAAGUCGAACGCUUCUUUCCUCCCGAGUGCUUGCACUCAAUUGGAAAGAGGAGUGGCGGACGGGUGAGUAACACGUGGGUAACCUACCCAUCAGAGGGGGAUAACACUUGGAAACAGGUGCUAAUACCGCAUAACAGUUUAUGCCGCAUGGCAUAAGAGUGAAAGGCGCUUUCGGGUGUCGCUGAUGGAUGGACCCGCGGUGCAUUAGCUAGUUGGUGAGGUAACGGCUCACCAAGGCCACGAUGCAUAGCCGACCUGAGAGGGUGAUCGGCCACACUGGGACUGAGACACGGCCCAGACUCCUACGGGAGGCAGCAGUAGGGAAUCUUCGGCAAUGGACGAAAGUCUGACCGAGCAACGCCGCGUGAGUGAAGAAGGUUUUCGGAUCGUAAAACUCUGUUGUUAGAGAAGAACAAGGACGUUAGUAACUGAACGUCCCCUGACGGUAUCUAACCAGGAAGCCACGGCUAACUACGUGCCAGCAGCCGCGGUAAUACGUAGGUGGCAAGCGUUGUCCGGAUUUAUUGGGCGUAAAGCGAGCGCAGGCGGUUUCUUAAGUCUGAUGUGAAAGCCCCCGGCUCAACCGGGGAGGGUCAUUGGAAACUGGGAGACUUGAGUGCAGAAGAGGAGAGUGGAAUUCCAUGUGUAGCGGUGAAAUGCGUAGAUAUAUGGAGGAACACCAGUGGCGAAGGCGGCUCUCUGGUCUGUAACUGACGCCGAGGCUCGAAAGCGUGGGGAGCAAACAGGAUUAGAUACCCUGGUAGUCCACGCUGUAAACGAUGAGUGAUAAGUGUUGGAGGGUUUCCACCUUUCAGUGCUGCAGCAAACGCAUUAAGCACUCCGCCUGGGGAGUACGACCGCAAGGUUGAAACUCAAAGGAAUUGACGGGGGCCCGCACAAGCGGUGGAGCAUGUGGUUUAAUUCGAAGCAACGCGAAGAACCUUACCAGGUCUUGACAUCCUUUGACCACUCUAGAGAUAGAGCUUUCCCUUCGGGGACAAAGUGACAGGUGGUGCAUGGUAGUCGUCAGCUCGUGUCGUGAGAUGUUGGGUUAAGUCCCGCAACGAGCGCAACCCUUAUUGUUAGUUGCCAUCAUUUAGUUGGGCACUCUAGCGAGACUGCCGGUGACAAACCGGAGGAAGGUGGGGAUGACGUCAAAUCAUCAUGCCCCUUAUGACCUGGGCUACACACGUGCUACAAUGGGAAGUACAACGAGUCGCUAGACCGCGAGGUCAUGCAAAUCUCUUAAAGCUUCUCUCAGUUCGGAUUGCAGGCUGCAACUCGCCUGCAUGAAGCCGGAAUCGCUAGUAAUCGCGGAUCAGCACGCCGCGGUGAAUACGUUCCCGGGCUUUGUACACACCGCCCGUCACACCACGAGAGUUUGUAACACCCGAAGUCGGUGAGGUAACCUUUUUGGAGCCAGCCGCUUAAGGUGGGAUAGAUGAUUGGGGUGAAG